rnacentral:rRNA from 1 species
AACGAACGCUGGCGGCAUGCCUAACACAUGCAAGUCGAACGAGACCUUCGGGGCUAGUGGCGCACGGGUGCGUAACGCGUGGGAACCUGCCCUUAGGUUCGGAAUAACUCCCAGAAAGGGGUGCUAAUACCGGAUAAUGUCUUCGGACCAAAGAUUUAUCGCCUUUGGAUGGGCCCGCGUUGGAUUAGCUAGUUGGUAGGGUAAAAGCCUACCAAGGCGACGAUCCAUAGCUGGUCUGAGAGGAUGAUCAGCCACACUGGGACUGAGACACGGCCCAGACUCCUACGGGAGGCAGCAGUGGGGAAUAUUGGACAAUGGGCGGAAGCCUGAUCCAGCAAUGCCGCGUGAGUGAUGAAGGCCUUAGGGUUGUAAAGCUCUUUUACCCGGGAUGAUAAUGACAGUACCGGGAGAAUAAGCCCCGGCUAACUCCGUG